UAUCAGGUCCAAUGAAUUUUCCAAGCAGUUGAGGAGCAAUAUCACAUGGAGAGAGCAAGGAUUAGCCAAUCAUCUCAACUCAGAAACAACUAAAACUCACUGACCAGUACGUGAAGAGUGAAUGACUGCUCAGCUUUUGGGAAGGGGAUACCAAAAGCACAGUGGUGAAAAAAUAGCCCCAUUACUUCUGAUUUGAAAACUCAGUUUUAUUAACAUGUUGAUCUCUGAGGACUUCCAGGGCUGUCGCCAAUAAGCCACACCACCUGGUCCCACCAUCUU